rnacentral:misc_RNA from 1 species
UUCAUGGAUUAUCUUACACA